UCUCCUGACUGAUGAAUGACGAGGAUGAAGCUUCUUGAAAUUGGAAUUUGACUGGAAAGCGACGAAGAAGUUCUCGCCUUUGCUGCGCCACUGCAGCAGGAUAAGCGCAACCGCGUACAAGUAUACUUGAAAAUUUCUAAAGACCGUGCUUGAGGAACAGGAGCGGGACGCCACCAUUAAAGAAAUAGAGGAAGCUCUCCGGGCCCAUCAAGCCGGCCUACUAGGGUUCGGUUAACGACGGUAGCUCUCUUGCUAAUGCGGACUCCACCUCGUCAAAAAUAAAACUGUCAGCAUCCUCUCCACCGAAGGCAUCGUCAUAAUCAUCGCCGUCCCUUCGACCGACUCAACCAACGCCUCGAAAGACUUCUCCACCAACGGUACAAAAGGCCCCUCAACCACCACCAAAACAAAAAGUGUCAGGAGUACGCCAAAGUUCAUCGAUGAAAAAGCUGGUCUUUAACCACAACUACCACAGAAGUCCUUCGGGACGUCUGGGUCUGACGGAAAUUGGCUGCUCGGUGGCCAUAGUAACAUCCAUCAUGUUCCAUGACUGCCAGUGGAACAGCCAAUUUGCCCUCUUCCACGUAGCCAUGAUGUACGGAAUCAUGGGAUUCAUCUUCUUCAUGAAUGGCGCCUUAGCAGGCAGCCAUGCCGAACGAGACACGGGAUACGUUCACCAGGAACUGCCACUCGUCCUGAUAGUACAAUACUACAGCCUUGGUUUUCUGCUCUACUUUCUCUUGGGCAUUAAAGUCAUCAUCACGCCAACAAAGGACGUCCUCACUGUCGUCGCAGCCAUUGCGGCUAUUUUUGCCGCAAUGGCUCUACUUGCUCAUGGCAUAUUCAGCGUGCGUCAUCGAUGAUCUCUUCGUCUCAAACUUCGAGGACAACCACAACAGUGUGAAGCACUUUGUGCGCGAUUUGAAAUUUUCAUACCCGAUAAAACAAGAUGAUACAGGAUAUAUCACUGCAUGAGUGACUUGUACCUCAUUGUCGUUCACCUUGUUCAAUUAAAGGCAUAUUACCUCUCGA